rnacentral:rRNA from 1 species
AGGGUUUGAUUAUGGCUCAGGACGAACGCUGGCGGUGCGCCUUAUGCAUGCAAGUCGAGCGAAGCUUUUCAGUAGUUUACUACAGAAAAUGACUGAGCGGCGAACGGGUGAGUAACGCGUGAGCAAUCUACCUUAGUUACAGGGAUAGCCCGAGGAAACUCGGAUUAAUACCUGAUAUUCUUUAUUUCUCGCAUGAGAAUAAAAGGAAAGGUCAGCCGAACUAAGAUGAGCUCGCGUUCUAUCAGCUAGUUGGUGAGGUAAAAGCUUACCAAGGCUACGACGGAUAGCUGGUCUGAGAGGACGAUCAGCCACACUGGGACUGAGACACGGCCCAGACUCCUACGGGAGGCUGCAGCAGGGAAUAUUGUGCAAUGAACGAAAGUUUGACACAGCGACACCGCGUGUGGGAUGACGGAUCUAGGUUUGUAAACCACUUUCAGGAGGGAAGAAAAUGACGGUACCUCCACAAGAAGCCCCGGCCAACUACGUGCCAGCCGCCGCGGUAAUA